rnacentral:SRP_RNA from 1 species
GCCGAGCUCGUUUGCGUGAGCUUGUAAUCCGAGCGGGGGCAACAAGGUGGUGUGGACGUUGCUGUAUAGCCGUGAGCCUGGUCUGGUUGUGCUUCUGCUGGCCCGCCCGUUCCAAGUUGAGUAGUGGACCGUUGGGGCCUGUGCGCAAGCUGGGCCUCACGGGCCAUAAUGUGGCAGGCACAGCGUGAGGCUGGCUUCACAGAGCAGCGACCACUGCCCGCUUCCAACGGUGGAAGGAAAACGGGCCGCUGCACAUCUUGGCCGCUUGGGCCUCGCAGCCUUGCUCCAACGAACCACCAUUUUU